UUUUUCAUUUCAGACCCCUUUGAUAGUGACAGUGACCCAGAUGACCCUGAGCCUUUCCAUGGUUUUGAUGCCUCGCCCUAUACAUCAGGUAAGGAAUCCUUAACAAAUUUGUAUAAAAUGUUUUAUAAAUUGCUAAUAGAAAUUUUAUUAAAAGUGUACAUAUGCUACAAUUACAUCCACCUUAUAAUAUAUUUAUGUACCCUAUCAUUCUUUCCAGAUCUAGAUGUUCCCUCAUCAGUUGAUACGAGUAUCACCUCUCCAGAGCCCAAAUCAGUUGAUACGAGUAGUAUCACCUCUCCCAUUCCUUCAGACUCCCAAGCACCUGCCCAUCCCACUCCAUAGCCCAGCCACCCACUCUCAUGUACCAUAUGGCCAUCCCAGUAAGCAAGCCAACCACUAGAAUUUGACUGGCAUGCACCUGUGACUUACAUAAACCAGACCUCUACAUAGCCUACAUGUCUUCAUUUUGCUGAAGACUGCCCAUCAUCCUAGCCUGUUAUCUGUGAUAAAGCACACUGAAGUUAGGUUUGGAAUGCAUCCUUAUCAUGAAUGCUCUACACCUCCACCUCCAUCUCCCACAACCUAGGUAACAGCUUUGAGACUCACUAAAAGUUGAGUCCCCUGAAUGAUGUAGGCUAUGGGGCCACAUAAGACUUUGUCCAUCCAGGGUUACAUUGAACGACAACUUUAAACUAAAAAACCAACAUUUUUCACACAACUCCAGGUUGUUACUAACAAAUUACUACUACAAGUGUCAUCAAGGGAUAACUACAAGUAGAAGCACCAUUUUUGGAUGGAAAAAACCCUUCAGGAAAGUAUACGUAUCACAUGUAACAUGUAGUGUAACAAAGUAUGAACAGUAAGUUUUACAUACAGUAGUAUUACAUACGUACAUAACUUUUUUUUACAGGAAUUUCCAACCAAGUUUGAUUAUGUACAUACAUGUUAUAAACCACUGUACGUAUGGUUACUGUAUGUAACUUACUAAACAUACAUAACAUGACUUAACUUUGAUACUUUUUUGGUACAUUCCAGAAAACCAGGACCCCCUCCAUAAUGCAGGCUAUGGGGCCACAUAAAACUUUGUCCAGGGUUACUACAUAACAUAAAGGUAAGGAAUUAUACAUAGUAGUAAACAUACAUUAAGUAAGUUUUAUACGUACAUACUAAAAAAAAGUGACCAAGAUCUCUCACAUGGGAUAAGUGAUCAAGGUCCCUCAUGGAAUUACGUACGUACUGUACACUCCCUGCUGAACAGGGGG